AUGUUUAAUGCCAUAGCGUUUGUAUAACAUUUAGAGAUGAACCAGAAACCGCCAUCAACGUUCUUCAAAAUAUCUUCUUUUGUGAUUUACAGAAAGAGAAUUUGGAUUUUUGGGAGAACAAUCCUUUUAAGGACACCUGGUUCUCAAGCUACAGUAGCUAUGAGGAGUGUUGCUGUGUGGGCACCUCUUCAUCUAGGCUUCUUCGGAUCUGUUCUACUUCACUUACGACGGAAAGACCACCACUGAAAGAGCGUCCUCUAUUGGAGUUUCCCUCUUUUGAGGAAUCUGAAACUAGCUUUAACAUGGCAGAUCCUGAUGUCUCAACCUACCUCCCCAGCAUGUUUGAACUGGUUGACACCACCAGUGAACACUUCAACCAAGACACCUCAGGACAUGGUGAAAUACUUGGUAUAUGAGGACCGCCUGCUUGAGCUUUUUAAAAUCUGCCCCACCUGCUCAAGAGUCUGCAGGGCAGUCACAUUUAUAAAUGGAACCUUCCUUUCUGUGACCCAGAAGUGCCUCCACCAGAGUUGUUUAUUCACCAGAGAGUGGAAGAGUCAACCACUUCUAAGCAGCACUCCAGCAGGGAAUCUGCAUCUAUCAGCCGCUGUCUACUACACAGGCUCUUCUUUCAUCCAGACUAACAAGACCAACCAGCUAGUGGGACUAAAACAGAAACAAAAUGUAUCUCUUGGUGGUGGUGAUAUGAGAGCCGACAGUCCAGGCCGUUGUGCAAAGUACGGCUCAUACUCCAUGAUGGAUCUCAGCACAAACAAAAUUGUUGAUAUCCAGCUUGUACAGCACUCACCAAAAAGGUUGAUGCCAUCUCUAAGGAGAAGGACUGCAACAAUAUCAUCAAAAAUCACCUCUACUGGUCAGCAGGCGGUACAUCCAGUGGAGAGGAAACAGUGGCAAAAUGGACUUCUCUGCUCAACCACAUCCAAAAUGUGCACGUCCAUGAAAAUUCUCUAUUCCCCAAGUGCAUCCACAAUCCUUCUGCCGACAAAUACAAGUGGCUGAAGCCUGGUGCGACACUUUUCUACACCAAUUAUGGAAUGUAAUAAGAACCCUGUAACCCUUUAUUUUUUCAAGUACCCCUGCAGUACCCCAGGGGUAGUAGAGAGGAACAUGUGUCCACAGUGAAAACCAAAUGCACCACUGGUUAGUUCAUUCUGUCGGUAUCUCUAUAGUAAUAUAUGCAUGAUUCUGCAUUUACAUAUUUGCCCCUCUGUCCAGAUGUGUUGUGACCAUAACGUGUAGUAUAUUUUCCACUUUGACAAAAUAUUAAACAAGCAAUAAACAUACCAUUAGUAUUGUAGUUACUUUGGUAACGGUUUGUCAACAGUUGAGACCAAAUGAAUGACUACUUGUAAUAUGCUCUCUCCUGUGUUUUAGAAUAUGUGACUGAGCUUACAGAUCUACUGUUUAACAAGAUCAUCAAUGACCCGGCACCCUUUGUGGCUGAGAUUAAAGCAGUGGAUGUUCCUGGAUUCCUGUGUUCAUAGUAUGAGCGACCUGAGGAAUCAGACGCAAUUGCUAGCGAUAUGUCCAGGUUCAGCUGUACAGGUCGAGUGGGAACACCUGGUGACCCUACCAAUCCCUAUCCUAAUAAAUCCUCGGUUUUCUGCCAAUAUGCAAGUCAACAUUUUCACUGUAUUAUUCUGGCUUUUACUUAAAAUUGUUAUUUUGGUAAUAUAUACACAGUACAUUACAAUUAUAAAUUUUUAUGUACGAUAGUACAUGUACAUGUACAUGAUGUACGAAUGCUGUCCAGAUUUGACACCAGUGUUUUCCCCAUGUCUAGUUGUGGGUGUCUUCCAAAAUCAUAUCUACCUGCCUCUGUUGCUAUGACUUACCUCCUGCCACAAUCCAUCCCUGCACUACCACCAACAUUUUUUAAAACAGUAAGUUGUGACAUACAAACAUGUCAUUACUCAAAAACGGACUGACAGCUGUACAAGACUUUUGUGAAACGUAUUGAAAAUGUAAUCACUAAAUAAUUGAGCACAAAACAUAAUUACAUUUAAAAAUGACUGUAUAUUUAAAUGGGAGGUUUAAAGCCUGUGUACUCCCAUCUUCAUCUGGGUACACUUGAUGUAUACGGAGCACAACACAAGAAGGUAUGACAACCCUGUUGUGCUUUCCUAGGUAUCCCCAUUUCCAGGAAACAAAACAUUUGUGUGCAGAGUCGCGAGUACGACUGUAAUGAUAAAAUAAAAACAAAAUGUCAUGUCAUGAUUUUAUAAUUAUCUAGGAUUGUUUUGGGUAGGUGGUGUUCUGUCUGAUAAUUGCAAUAAAA